rnacentral:rRNA from 1 species
AUUGAACGCUGGCGGCAGGCUUAACACAUGCAAGUCGAGCGGAGAGAGGUAGCUUGCUACUGAUCUUAGCGGCGGACGGGUGAGUAAUGCUUAGGAAUCUGCCUAUUAGUGGGGGACAACAUUUCGAAAGGAAUGCUAAUACCGCAUACGUCCUACGGGAGAAAGCAGGGGAUCUUCGGACCUUGCGCUAAUAGAUGAGCCUAAGUCGGAUUAGCUAGUUGGUGGGGUAAAGGCUCACCAAGGCGACGAUCUGUAGCGGGUCUGAGAGGAUGAUCCGCCACACUGGGACUGAGACACGGCCCAGACUCCUACGGGAGGCAGCAGUGGGGAAUAUUGGACAAUGGGCGCAAGCCUGAUCCAGCCAUGCCGCGUGUGUGAAGAAGGCCUUAUGGUUGUAAAGCACUUUAAGCGAGGAGGAGGCUACUUUAGUUAAUACCUAGAGAUAGUGGACGUUACUCGCAGAAUAAGCACCGGCUAACUCUGUGCCAGCCGCCGCCGUAAAAC